CUUGUUGGGGAUCUGGACAUCGACCCUCCCGGCCAGGACUCCGACGGUGGCAUUGCCAAUUCGCUUCGUUUUGCAUGUGCUGAAGGAGAAGGACGACGACAGUUUGUUUUUUGAUCAGCGAAGGGUAGAGCUGUGUUGUCGUGGAGGCAAGUAGCCAUGCACUUCGCACCACCCUGCGGAACACAGUGAAGAGUGAUGCCUGGAGAUAUUUUCGGGAGGAUGGUCUCGACCGAGUGGAGU
rnacentral:lncRNA from 1 species